rnacentral:rRNA from 1 species
UAGGGAAUAUUGGGCAAUGGACGCAAGUCUGACCCAGCCAUGCCGCGUGCAGGAUGAAGGCGUUAUGCGUUGUAAACUGCUUUUAUACAGGAAGAAACGACUCUUGCGAGAGGCAUUGACGGUGCUGUAUGAAUAAGCACCGGCUAACUCCGUG